GCAGGAAUAGCUUAAUUGGUAGAGCGGCGGCCGGUAGGUAUCGGGGCAAAGCCUCUGGGGAUACCGAACGCUGCGUGUGGCGGUUCGAUGCCGUCUUCCUGCCCCA
rnacentral:tRNA from 1 species